GUGGGCCAGAUGUACUAUCAUGGCUUACGGUUGCGGAAGAACGAGCCAAAGGCGAAGGCUUGGAUUAGCAAAGUGUCAAAGUAUCGACCUUCAGUAUGGAAAGUCAGCAAAAAAAGACCAGGUUAUAAUGCAAGUGACUCAGAUUCUGACGAAGUAGAGAAUGACAAUAAUCGAUGAUUCAAUUUGAUUGGAGUUUAUAAAGAAAUGUAGUUCUCGCGCUGAUCGCUGGCUCAUAAAUAUCCUCAUGGCUGUACUAGUGCAAUGCCUUUUUUGGGGUCUUUUCCCCCUAUGAAUCAAGGAGUUGUGCUUUCGAUUAUAUAUGACUACUGCAGAUUUUGAUAGCUGAAGAAAGUUUAAUUUGUCAAAGUUGUAAUUAAUAUUCCUCUACACUUCCCAAAUAUAGGAAACGUAAGUCAGUUUUGGCAUUUUGAUGCUUUCAUGUUGCUUACUAUGUCGGUGAGCAUAUUUACUAGUGAUUCUUGUGGCUUACAAACUAGUGAUGGAGGAGAUUGAUAACGAGAGAGUGUUUUAAAUAUUAUUUAGCAGCCGAGAUUGAA